GACGAACGCUGGCGGCGUGCUUAACACAUGCAAGUCGAACGGUGAAGCGCCUUCCUUUUUGGUGGGUGUGGAUGAGUGGCGAACGGGUGAGUAACACGUGAGUAACCUGCCCCCUUCUUCUGGAUAACCGCAUGAAAGUGUGGCUAAUACGGGAUAUUCUGGGUCUGUCGCAUGAUGGGUCUGGGAAAGAUAUUGUUUCGGUGGGGGAUGGGCUCGCGGCCUAUCAGCUUGUUGGUGGGGUGAUGGCCUACCAAGGCGGUGACGGGUAGCCGGCCUGAGAGGGUGGACGGUCACACUGGGACUGAGACACGGCCCAGCCUCCUACGGGAGGCAGCAGUGGGGAAUAUUGCACAAUGGGCGCAAGCCUGAUGCAGCGACGCCGCGUGAGGGAUGGAGGCCUUCGGGUUGUGAACCUCUUUCGCCAGUGAAGCAGGCCUGCCUCGUUUGUGGGUGGGUUGACGGUAGCUGGAUAAGAAGCGCCGGCUAACUACGUG
rnacentral:rRNA from 1 species